UUUUGGGCAAUGGGCGAAAGCCUGACCCAGCAACGCCGCGUGAGGGAUGAAGUAUUUCGGUAUGUAAACCUCGAAAGAAUGGGAAGAAUAAAUGACGGUACCAUUUAUAAGCUCCGGCUAACUACGUGCCAGCAGCCGCGGUAAUACGUAGGGAGCAAGCGUUGUUCGGAUGUACUGGGCGUAAAGGGCGCGUAGGCGGCGCGGUAAGUCACUUGUGAAAUCUCUGAGCUUAACUCAGAACGGCCAAGUGAUACUGCUGUGCUAGAGUGCGGAAGAGGCACCCGGAAAUCUUGGUGUAGCGGUGAAAUGCGUAGAUAUCAAGAGUAACACCUGAGGCUAAGGCGGGUUGCUGAGCCGACACUGACGCUGAUGCGCGAAAGCCAGGGGAGCAAACG
rnacentral:rRNA from 1 species